rnacentral:rRNA from 1 species
AACGCGAAGAACCUUACCUGGGCUUGAACCGCACAGGACCAUUCCUAGAAAUAGGGACUUCCCGCAAGGGACCUGUGUAGAGGUGCUGCAUGGCUGUCGUCAGCUCGUGCCGUGAGGUGUUGGGUUAAGUCCCGCAACGAGCGCAACCCUUACUCGUAGUUGCCACCCGCAAGGGGGAACUCUACGAGGACUGCUCCGGAUAACGGAGAGGAAGGUGGGGAUGAGGUCAAGUCAGCAUGGCCUUUAUGUCCAGGGCUACACACGUGUUACAAUGCGCGCUACAAUGCGUCGCGAACCCGCGAGGGGGAGCUAAUCGCAAAAAAGCGCGCUCAGUUCGGAUUGCAGUCUGCAACUCGACUGCAUGAAGCUGGAAUCGCUAGUAAUGGCGCAUCAGAACGGCGCCGUGAAUACGUUCCCGGGCCUUGUA